rnacentral:lncRNA from 10 species
CGUCUUUGAGCAAACAUAGAGUAUCUGGGACCACAGUAGUUCGCUCUAUAGGUGUGCCAAUCGGUAAUGAUCCAUGGCUGCAUACCCUGCUCUGUAAUACCCCAGCCGUCAGCCAACCAGAAAGCCCCAGAGACUUCUCCGGCCAUCUGAAAACACUGCCAUUAGAGAAGGUUCUGCCUGGCUGUUUUCUUCUCUUCCCGGGAAAUAUGGCCAGAUUAUUGCUGACCUAUCUGGAGGCAACAGGAACAUGGUAAUCUGUUCUUAUUCUAAUGGAUCUUCCAUAACGUUUCCCACAAAGAAUUACUAACCAUUCAUGACCUUCAUCAAAUAACGUUUCCAGAGCUCAUCACAAUGACUGGCAUAUGGUAAAUGAAUAUUAAUCCAAGGGGAGGAAGGAUGGAAGCUAGAAGGAAAGGAAGGAAGAAAAGGAGAGAAGAAGGUGGAAAAGAAGAAGGAAGGAAGAGGAAUGAAUUUAAGAAUGAACGAUUCAAUACAAACAUAGAAGAAAACUUUUUUGAGUAUGAGAGAUGGGUGGUGUUAACCAUUUAGAAAGGUGGAGAGGUGGUGUCUUAGCUAACGGUUUAGAAUCUGGGUCUUUAAAUGAAGCCUUAACUUAUUCUUUACCCUCAGGCAAAUAGCUUGGCUCUCAGGACCUCAGUUUUCUCUUCUGCAAAAAAGCUGUCAUCUCUAGCUCUGAAUGCAAUAAUUUUAUAAAAGUAGCUUUCAAAUGAAUGUGGGGACAGAUUUCUGUCAUCCAGAGCACAAUUGGUUGCAAAUUGCAGUAUGAUUCUUGUGGAUGCUCCAUGUGAGGAAAGGAUCAUGGGAAGAGUCUGUAUUCAGGAAGGUAAGUGCCCAUAUACAGAAUCUAAGCUUUUUGAUUCAUCUUUGAUUGAAUAUUCAUUCUACUUCUAAUAAUAUAGAUGGAAGAGUUAUUUUUCUUCAAAUUUAUAUUCAGUAACACCCUCAACAUCUCUCAAAUUACUAGUGUCAGUUGAGACAAGAACAAAACAAGAAUGUUAAAAAUACCUUGUGUCUCUAUGCCAUUGCCACAAAAACUCAACAGCCAGCUUGCUUGCCGGCAAAGGCUUUCUUUUCAGGGAAGAUAAUUUGCAUGUGGGGCUCCAUUCAAGUACUUUGAAAAUGUGUCCAAGGAAACUUAGCAAUUGAAAUGAUUAUCAGAAACUGGUUGUGUUUUUCAUUCUAAAUCAGACUGAUUUCCAAGACACUCUUGGUGUGCUAGAGGAGGAUGAAGAGAGGGCAUUUGGAGCCCAUUCUUAGUCUUCAAACUUUCAGGACACUUGAAAUGUAUUCUCUAGUUUGGCCUAUGGUAACUCAGUCUGUUUCCCUGUUUCAUUACUCCAGUGUUGGCA